rnacentral:lncRNA from 1 species
GAGCUUCGUCUAUCUCUAGACCCCAGCGUCGAAGGGUCUUCAGCACACGGGCGCCUGAACUGGCUGCACUCCUAGCUGUAACCAGCCAUCAUCCAUGGAAAGUCCAGAUUAGCCUCCUGGAUGGAUUUGUGAGAAGCAGAGCCUCUCCUCCAAGCCAGAGAAGCCAUUGUGUACCAGCUCGCCCUAUUAGCAUACCAUGUGCCCAGGAGUAAACAGUGCCCAGAGAUGCUCUCUGCACCACACCACCACUGCUGGGGUCGGGGAGCGGAGUUGGUGAUCCAGGAAUGUUUUCCUGUUUCUUCAGUGCCUCUUUCAGUGAUAUGAAGUUAAAACCAGGGACACAGGAGAGAAUUAAGCUGACACCAGGAGACACAGCUGACACUGGGGAGAAGUGGUGAAGACAGCAUCCUGGAAGAGGUGAGACUACUGUCUCUGAAGUUACUACAACUCUUCCAUUAAUUUUGUGAGCUUCCAUCGUUUCCUACAUGAACAUUUAUUAAAAUAUUUCCAAUGCAGACUAUGGAGAGAUAGAGAAGAGAUAAGAAAGAGAAAGAGUUAAUUUUGGAAUAGAAGUUUCCAGGUCGCUUCCAAGAUGGCCAAAUAGGAACAGCUCCAGUCUGCAGCUCCCAGUGAGAUCGACACAGAAGACGAGAGAU